AAAAGAUUCUGUAAUCCGUUGCUGAAAUUGAAAUAUCAAGGAAUAAAACACGAAGUGCUAAAAAUAUCAGAUAACCACAAAUCUGAGAGAUGACUAGGCAUUUGUAGUGAAACAUGAAUGAAGAAAGAAAAUAGAAAGAUCUGUAAGAAGAAAUUUAUUGCAUAUUAUUGAACCUGAUUUCUG